rnacentral:rRNA from 1 species
ACUCAAAUGAAUUGACGGGGGCCCGCACAAGCGGUGGAGCAUGUGGUUCAAUUCGAAGCAACGCGCAGAACCUUACCAGCUCUUGACAUGGGACGUAUGGGGGCCGGAGACGGUCUUCUUCAGUUCGGCUGGCGUCCACACAGGUGCUGCAUGGCUGUCGUCAGCUCGUGUCGUGAGAUGUUGGGUUAAGUCCCGCAACGAGCGCAACCCUCCUCUUCAGUUGCCAGCAUUGAGUUGGGCACUCUGGAGAUACUGCCGGUGACAAGCCGGAGGAAGGCGGGGAUGACGUCAAGUCCUCAUGGCCCUUACGGGCUGGGCUACACACGUGCUACAAUGGCGGUGACAGAGGGGCGCGAACCCGCGAGGGGGAGCCGAUCCCGAAAAGCCGUCUCAGUUCGGAUCGCACUCUGCAACUCGAGUGCGUGAAGUCGGAAUCGCUAGUAAUCGCGGAUCAGCACGCCGCGGUGAAUACGUUCCCGGGCCUUGUACACACCGCCCGU